AAGACUCUACUUUCAGGGAUCAUUUCUAUAGUUCUUGACUAGAAAAAUUCCUCUGAAUGUGUAGGGUACUAGAAACCACAAUGAUGAGACACAACACUCUCUCCAGAGCGUGAAAUCAACUUUAAGUGAUGCUUUUGCAAGCUACUUUCUGCCAUUGAUGAUCGCUCAUAAUGUGUUUGAGUUGAUGUGAGCGAGAGGGUGUAAUCUGAAUGGA